rnacentral:sRNA from 1 species
GCGGCAAGAAACUAUGUUAAUCGGAUGUGCCACGCGGCAAACCGCCCACUCAUCGAUUCUGGAUCCGGUGGUUAUUUUGGACAAGUUUCGGUGAGAAAUUCGCUAUUUUUGAUGAAAAAUUAACGGUUUUGGCCUUAAAAUGUGAUUUUUGGCUUCAAAACACAAAUUUAACCGAAAGUUAGUAAUUUUAAGUUUUAAAAAUACAUUUUUACGUUAAAAAUUGCAAUUUUUCCAGGUGAUCAUGCGUGGAAAGACGGAAUGCUACGAGUGUGUGGAUAAGCCAGUUCAACAGACAACCUACCCGGGAUGUACGAUCAGAAAUACUCCAAGCGAGCAUAUUCAUUGCACAGUUUGGGCGAAACACGUCUUUAAGUGCGUAAAAUUGACGAAAAUUCCGAUAUUCAACGGAAAAAUAAAAAAUUUCGCACAUUUUCUGGCUACGUGGCCUUCCCGCAACUCAUUUCACGCCAAAAUGCGGAUUUUGUGCAUUUUGUCGUAGGAUCCGACGGUGUUUGCGUACUUUUGAGACUACCGUAACCCGAAAAUACCAGAAAACAUAGAAUCUAACGAGAAAAGGCACAAAUGUAUUGAAACUCAAGAUUUUUCGCCGAAAAACUCUAAAACUUGAGCGAAAAGUUUUUUUUUUUUGAAAAAUUCGGUUUCAAUUUCGAAAUUUUAUGCAGAAACUGACUAAAUUUGCUGAAUAAUGGAUAUUUAUGGCAUUAUUCAGGGCAUUUAGUCGAUUUUUGCUUAAAAUUUUGAAUUGCAAGCCGAAUUUUUUAAGGAAAAAAUAAACUUUUCGCUCAAGUUUUAGAAUUUUUCAUGAAAAAAUCCAAAAUUUCGAGACAUUUGUGCAUUUUCUCGUCAGUUUCUAUGUUUUCUGGUAUUUUUGGGUUACUGUAGCCUUAAAUGUACGCAAACACCGUCGGAGGAUCCUCGGAAAUUUGUGCACUUUGUCGUAAGAUCCGGCGUUGUUUGCAUACUUUUGAGGCUACAGUAAUCCAAAAAUAUCGAAAAAAAAACCGAUUUUUCAAGGUUUUAAAGCAAUUUUUAAAUUUUUAAUACGUUUUCAAUUUCAGUCAGCUGUUCGGUGAGGUGGAUAUCGACGAUGACGUGUCACCGGACAUGGAUGCAGUGGAUCCGGAUAAUACUGAGGCUGUUACCACUGAAAAAGAGAAAGAAGCAAUGAAAGAAGAGCCCGCGCCAGUUGGAACACGUCAAUGGGCUGAAAGUGUGGAUUAUGAUGCUGCAAAAGUGUUCGACAAG